CAUCGGUGAUUGGCUUAGGGGUGGGGUUUGAGUAAAAGGCAGGAGGUGUUCUUCCCUGAUUGGCCUUCUCUUGGCGGGCUCCCGGGGUGGAGAACCGGGAACCGGGGGUGAAGAACCCGGAACCGGCGCCAUCUUACUGUGCCCAUGUUACCUGACAGAGAUCAGAAUGUCAUUCUGGGAGACCUUUGCUAGGCUGUUCUGAAAAGGCUGUUUUUACCUGAACGAUUAGAAUUUAGGGAAAUUUCAGGUAUGUGGAACCACUAGCUUUUACUUCCUAAUGUUACCAAGUUGGGAGCAGUUGUUUCAAGGAAGCCUCUCUGCUGCCAUACAGGAUAGAAGCAUGUUGAAAAAGUUAACGGUAAAUGUUCAUGAAAACAAAUGGGACAGUGCUGAGAAAAGCAUAUCUCUAUGAGAAAUGUACUUCCUGAAGGGCAUGUUCAAAGGAAAAUUCAAUGAAAUGUUUUUGGAAAAUAAAAAAAUUAUUAUUAUGAGAUUUGAGCAAAAUAGUGUAACCCUGCUUAUUGGAAAUGAUUAGCGCUUAAAAAUGUAUC